rnacentral:rRNA from 1 species
AUACGGAGGGGGCUAGCGUUGUUCGGAAUUACUGGGCGUAAAGCGCACGUAGGCGGCACACAUAGUCAGAGGUGAAAGGCCUGGGCUCAACCUGGGAACUGCCUUUGAUACUGGUGAGCUAGAGUCCGGGAGAGGGUAGCGGAAUUCCCAGUGUAGAGGUGAAAUUCGUAGAUAUUGGGAAGAACACCGGUUGCGAAGGCGGCUACCUGGCCCGGUACUGACGCUGAGGUGCGAAAGCGUGGGGAGCAAACAGGAUUAGAAACCCCUGUAGUCC